GGGAGGGUAGCUCAGUGGUAGAGUGCUUGCCUGGCAUGCAUGAGGCUCUGGGUUCAAUUCCUCAGCACCA
rnacentral:tRNA from 1 species